rnacentral:rRNA from 1 species
UACAGAGGGUGCAAGCGUUGUUCGGAAUCAUUGGGCGUAAAGGGCGUGUAGGCGGUCUGUUAAGUCAUGUGUGAAAUCCCUCGGCUCAACCGGGGAACGACGCAUGAAACUGACAAGCUAGAGUACCAAAGAGGGGGGUGGAAUUCCCGGUGUAGCGGUGAAAUGCGCAGAUAUCGGGAAGAACACCCGUGGCGAAGGCGGUUCUCUGGGACGGUACUGACGCUGAGACGCGAAAGCGUGGGGAGCGAACAGG